AGAGUUUGAUCAUGGCUCAGAUUGAACGCUGGCGGCAGGCCUAACACAUGCAAGUCGAGCGGUAGCACAGGAGAGCUUGCUCUCUGGGUGACGAGCGGCGGACGGGUGAGUAAUGUCUGGGAAACUGCCUGAUGGAGGGGGAUAACUACUGGAAACGGUAGCUAAUACCGCAUAACGUCUUCGGACCAAAGUGGGGGACCUUCGGGCCUCACGCCAUCAGAUGUGCCCAGAUGGGAUUAGCUAGUAGGUGGGGUAAUGGCUCACCUAGGCGACGAUCCCUAGCUGGUCUGAGAGGAUGACCAGCCACACUGGAACUGAGACACGGUCCAGACUCCUACGGGAGGCAGCAGUGGGGAAUAUUGCACAAUGGGCGCAAGCCUGAUGCAGCCAUGCCGCGUGUGUGAAGAAGGCCUUCGGGUUGUAAAGCACUUUCAGCGAGGAGGAAGGGUAGUGUGUUAAUAGCACAUUGCAUUGACGUUACUCGCAGAAGAAGCACCGGCUAACUCCGUGCCAGCAGCCGCGGUAAUAC
rnacentral:rRNA from 1 species